rnacentral:lncRNA from 1 species
CUCACAUUUGUGUACAAUCAUGCAUGAAAUCUUUAAUGCUAAGCAAAUUAUAAAAAAAUUACUGCAUGUGUAUUAGCCAAUAAGUACACCCAAAAUCAAUGUUUUCCCGGCAAAAUUGAAGACACUUCAAUAAGGAGGAUUUAGAGGUCCUCCAUGAAGAGCAAAAUCAUUUAUUCUAUGCUUCUAACUUUCUGCUUCUUUCUUUUGGAAGUUGGUGAACUGUAUAAAAAAAUAAAUAAAAAUAUUACAAAAAGUGCAUGUGGAAAGAUGCAUAAAGUGAGGAAAUUAGUAUACAGCAUACCAAAGAGCCAUAAUUUAAGGAGAUGGUAAUAGUUAAGGUCGCGCGAAUUCUUAAAAUUUAGAUUGAGUCUAACUCAACCCUACAAAAUUGAUUUAUACGGUGAGAGAUACCUCCCACUUACAAACCCAUUUUCAUCUCAUAAUAACUCAUUCAAUGUAGGACUCUUUCAUGCCCAAGAUUGUACAUCUAGAGCGUGACCCGAUAGCAGGUGACACAAUGAAUGUUGGGUAGACUGAUACUAUCUUAGAAUUUGGGUUCGACCUAACUCAACUUGAGGUAUACCACCCACUUAUAAACAGCUUGUAAAGAAAUGUAUCAUCCACCGAGGUACAGCCAACAAACCCCUCGCUUAGGACUGAACUUUUGGAGUGCGACCCAGUAAUAGGUGGCCCAACAGAUCUUGGAAGCUCUAAUCGGGUCACUCAAGUCACACUCCACGUGUUCAAUCUUGAACAUGAGAGAGUAGGUAUUGAUAGUAUCACGUUGGAAUAUAUGGCCUGAAAAAAAUGUUUAUAAGUUGGGAUUU